GACGAACGCUGGCGGCGUGCUUAACACAUGCAAGUCGAACGGGAGUAUUGAAGAAGCUUGCUUUAGAGAUACUUUAGUGGCGGACGGGUGAGUAACGCGUGAGGAGCUGUCCAAUGCAGGGGGACAACAGUUGGAAACGACUGCUAAUACCCCAUAAGCCGAGAGGUAAAAGGAUUUAUCCGGCAAUGGAGGUACUCGCGUCCUAUCAGCUAGUAGGUGAGGUAACGGCUCACCUAGGCGAAGACGGGUAGCCGGCCUGAGAGGGCGAACGGCCACACUGGAACUGAGAUACGGUCCAGACUCCUACGGGAGGCAGCAGUGGGGAAUAUUGGGCAAUGGGGGGAACCCUGACCCAGCGACGCCGCGUGGGUGAAGAAAUCCUUCGGGAUGUAAAGCCCUGUUGUAUGGGAGGAGCGGAAGACGGUACCAUACGAGGAAGCCCCGGCAAACUACGUGCCAGCAGCCGCCGUAACAC
rnacentral:rRNA from 1 species